UUUUUUUUUUUUAAAUGAUUUCCUUUGCUGUGCAAAAGCUUUUGAGUUUGAUUAGUUCCCAUUGCUUUAUUGUCAUUAUUCUAGAAGGUGGAUCAAACAAGAUGUUGCUGUGAUUUAAGUCAAAAAGCAUUCUGCCUAUGUUUUCCUCUAGUUUAAUAGUAUCUGGCCUUAUAUUUAGGUCUUGAAUCCAUUGUGAGUUUAUUUUUGUGUAUGGUGUUAGUGCUCUAUUUUCAUUCUUUUACAUGUAGCUGUCCAGUUUGCCCAGCACCAUUUAUUGAAGAGACUAUUUUUCUUCCACUGUAUGUCCUUGCCGCCUUUGUCAUAGACUAGCUGACCAUAGGUGCUUGAGAAUAGCAUUUUUCCCCUAUAUUCACAAUAAGCAAUUCAAAGUUGAGUUCCCGUCGUGGCGCAGUGGUUAACGAAUCCGACUAGGAACCAUGAGGUUGCGGGUUCGAUCCCUUGCCUUGCUCAGUGGGUUAAGGAUCCGGCGUUGCCGUGAGCUGUGGUGUAGGUUGCAGACGCGGCUCAGAUCCCUCGUUGCUGUGGCUCUGGCGUAGGCCAGUGGCUACGGCUCCGAUUCGACCCCUAGCCUGGGAACCACCAUAUGCCGCAGGAGCGGCCCAAGAAAUAGCUAAAAAGACAAAAAAAAAAAAAAAGUCUUACUAAAGAACAUAAAUCAAGGUCUGAAGAAAUUGUAUAGUCUUGAAUGGGAAGACAAUAUCAUGAAAUAUCAAUUCCCCCAAAUUAACAUUUUAAUGUAAUACCACUAAUUUGAAAUUCAACUAGGUGAGGUUUUGAAAUCAAAAUUGGACUAAGUGAUUUUAAGGUUCAAAUGAAAGAGAAAUGAUGUUAAUUCAUAGAGUAGAAUUGAGUCCAGAAGUAGAGUCUAGUAUGUAACAAGUUAAUACAUGAAAAAGUUAUAUUUCAGUAAGAAAGAAUGUUACUUAGUAAAGGCUGGCACAGCUCUCCAUCUGAAGAAAAUGAAAGUACAACCCAUACAAUCGCACAAAAAGCAAAUUCCAGAUAUAUUAAAUUUUUUUAAUUUUAAUUAAAUAUAAAGUGAAACAAAAAGAAAUCUAAGAGACUGGAAGUAUAGUCAGGAGAGAGGGAAGACCUUAGCCAAUUCAAGUAAUUUAAAAGGUGUUUUACAGAGUUCCUGUUGUGGCUCGGUAGAAACGAACCCAACUAAGAUCCAUGAGGAUGUGAGUUCCAUUCCUGGCCUCGAUUAGUGGGUUAAGGAUCUGGCGUUGCCAUGAGCUGUGGUGUAGGCUGCAGACUUGGCUCAAAUCUGGUGUUGCUGCCUGGCAGCUGCAGCUCCACUUCAACCCCUCGCCGGGAACUUCCAUAUGCUGUGAGUGUGGCC
rnacentral:lncRNA from 1 species